UCGCGAAAACUUUGCAAUAAACGCAAGUUUGACAGGGCUAUCCCGAGUGCCAUCCGCUGAGGAAGGCUUUUACCCAGUCUAGAACGCUGGGGGAAUAAGGAGAGGGCAAGUCUGGUGU
rnacentral:rRNA from 1 species